AACGAACGCUGGCGGCAGGCCUAACACAUGCAAGUCGAGCGGACCCUUCGGGGUUAGCGGCGGACGGGUGAGUAACGCGUGGGAAUAUGCCCUUCUCUACGGAAUAGUCCUGGGAAACUGGGGGUAAUACCGUAUACGCCCUUUGGGGGAAAGAUUUAUCGGGGAAGGAUUAGCCCGCGUUGGAUUAGGUAGUUGGUGGGGUAAUGGCCUACCAAGCCGACGAUCCAUAGCUGGUUUGAGAGGAUGAUCAGCCACACUGGGACUGAGACACGGCCCAGACCCCUCCGGGAGGCAGCAGUGGGGAAUCUUAAAAAAGGGGGGCAACCUUGAUGUAGCCUGGCGGGGGGAGUGAUGAGGGCUUGGGGGUAGAAAGGUUCUUUAAGCUGGGAAGAUAAGGACGGUACCAGAAGAAGAAGCCCCGGCUACCCCGGGC
rnacentral:rRNA from 1 species